GGAAAUAAAAGACUGAAGCAGCUAGCUGUAUACAGCAGUAUUUAUAACUAUUUUAAACAGCAUAAUAUCAAAGAUUGCUACAGGGAAUCAAAUACUACUAAGAUAUUUAAGGAUUUUGCGCUCUUAAAUUAGUUUUUAAUGUUGUGCUGUGGUUGUUAAAUGGAAAGCAGGUUAGUAAUUCAACAGUAAGGUAGCUGUAUCUUUGCUGGAAGUUCGAACUCCAACAUCCAAGUAUGCCUUCUUAAGUAGCCUACAUGCAUAUAUGUUACAAGUAGCUUUAUCUUUGUCAACAAUUUCUUCAUCCAUCCCUGGCGUUAGCUUGCCAAAGUCUAGUAGUGCCUCCCCUUCCUUAAUCCAUCCCUGGUCUAAAUGAUAUCAUGCAGAGUGAUAAUCUGACUUCUAGUUUUAGAAUCAGAUCAAGUACUCUAUAAUCUAUAUUUCCCUUAAGUCUCAUGGAAUGCCAAUUUUAGAAAUGAUUCUGCAUAAUAGAUACCAGCAUAAUGAUCCUAGCUAUUUUUGGCCUCCUUUUAGACACUUCUCUUCUUAAUGUGAUGCACAUCAACUACUCUCCUGAAUGAAAUCAAAUUACAUUGCCCAGCCCCAACCCAUCCCUAGAUUUUAUGUUAUUGCAGAACACCAUUUGAUAUUCCUCUUUAGAUCCCCAUUUCCUUGCUUUUUACAUUGGCCCACUGUCUUAAGGUUGCUACCAAUUUUAGGCAUCCUUUCUUGCAUUAUUAAAUGAACCAUGUUCUUAGCAGUUUCUAGUUCCCAGACCCAAAGAUAACCGUGGAAUCAAGGGUGCAUUUGGUGUGAGUUAAGAAGUUGGAGGUGAAAGUUAUGUGUAAUAUUUAAGCGUAUAAUUUUUAAGGAAAGUGGUAAAAAAUUACAAGAGUAACAGUCAAGUGUGUGUGUCUGGUUUAUAUUUGUCUAUACAGGUUAGAGGUAGAUGGAUAAUGGUUGAAACUCAUAUGUAAUAAUUAUUGUGGUAGUGGUGAAUGGUAGCAGAGGAAAAAAUAAUAGCAUAUUCUUUAUUAUCUUUUUCCCCUUUAACAUACAGGGAGAUAAGUUAAAUUUCAAUCCCCAAGCGGGUGGAUGGUAAUUACUUUACAAAAUAUUUCCCUCAUAAGAGUAUACCCAGCAAGGUUGAAAAAGAAUAAAUUUGACCCCCUUUACUUUUUCCCCCUUUCACCCCUUGCCAUACCCUAAGGUCACAAUUUACUAAUAUCCUAAUACAUCAACACAGAUCCAAUCUCAUUUGCACAUCUAUAAGCCUUGCUAGUUGUUUUAUCGAGCAUUGCUUUUAAAGCAAAUUUACAACCAAGCCACAAUAUAAGCAGUAUAUUAUUUCAAAUAGAGAACACAAAAAAACUUGAGAAAGAAAUUGCUUGAAUAUUUGGUGGACUCGACACAUGGCACACCCCAUCACUCAAAGAGGCAAAGAUAGGCUUACAUUCCUUUUUUAUCUGUUCCAAAUUAUAGGCCACUUUCUUUUUUGAGAUGAUAGUUUAU
rnacentral:misc_RNA from 1 species